ACAAAUCUGGUGGGAAAGGGAGAGCUUUCUGACUGAAGCCGCCUUUUUGUUUUAGAGCAUGGCGGGCAAUGAGAAGAACCAAGUCGCUGAUGCACAGAGAAAAUUUUUAAAAUGUGACUUCAUUUCAAAGAAAAAUCUGAAUGCCAUAUGACCAGCAAGAGAAGAGGCACUAAUCCAAAACAAUCUUCUUACCAUGAUUAUUUGAUGACUGAAUCUACACUUCAAUUGAAGUAGGCUAAUGCAGUCCUUAAAUGACAUGACACAGGUUUUUACCCCCUGGUUUAAAUGAGUGAGUCUUGUUACUCAUUUCCUUCUUUGUUAAGCUUAAGAUUUCCCCUUGGUUAACCACCUAAAUAUGCCUGCACAGCUGUAUGCAUGUGUGUAUUUUCAAAAUCACUCAUGUUUUGAUUGGUUUGUUUUAAAGCAAUAGGAAAUUAAAGCGCAUCGUUUCAUCAACAGUAUCCUUGAUUGAACAUUGUACAUUUUUUGAAAUUUCUGUGUCAUUUUCCCUAAGACUCACUGAAUACUUUCCUAUUUGGUUCUAUGGCCUCAUGGCCCAAAUAAAUGAAGUUUUAUUUUC